CCUACGGGAGGCAGCAGUGAGGAAUAUUGGUCAAUGGGAGAGAUCCUGAACCAGCCAAGCCGCGUGAGGGAAGACGGCCCUAUGGGUUGUAAACUUCUUUUAAGAGGGAAGAGCAGAAGACGGUACCUCUUGAAUAAGCCACGGCUAACUACGUGCCAGCAGCCGCGGUAAUACGUAGGUGGCAAGCGUUGUCCGGAUUUACUGGGUGUAAAGGGCGUGUAGCCGGGCUGACAAGUCAGAUGUGAAAUCCGGGGGCUCAACCCCCGAACUGCAUUUGAAACUGUUGGUCUUGAGUAUCGGAGAGGCAGGCGGAAUUCCUAGUGUAGCGGUGAAAUGCGUAGAUAUUAGGAGGAACACCAGUGGCGAAGGCGGCCUGCUGGACGACAACUGACGGUGAGGCGCGAAAGCGUGGGGAGCAAACAGGAUUAGAUACCCGAGUAGUC
rnacentral:rRNA from 1 species